UGCCCGACAACAGCCCCAAUGUCAAAUUCGAUAUUGUUCGAGAAUGCUGGAAAAUUUUCAGUAUUGUACGGAGCCUCGACAUUAAAACACAUACAAAUAAAAAUUCCAAAUUUUGUAAAAUAUUUAUUUCUGUUUUUUUUUGUUUUCAUUUAGUUUUAAGCAUAAAGUGAUUUGUUGUGUUUUUUGUGUUUUUGUUUUGUUUUGUGUUACUAUAGUUAAUUAGGUGAAGUUUGAACAAAGGCGAUGGACUCGAGCAUGUUUCCGUAUCGGUAGUAUCUGUAGUCUAACACCGUACACUGUAUCUUCUAUCUGCAGCCCAAUCCACAUUCAAGUCUAACACCGUACACUGUAUCUUGUAUCUGCAGCCCAAUCCACAUUCUAGUCUAACACCGUACACUGUAUCUUGUAUCUGCAGCCCAUCCCACAUUCUAGUCUAACACCGUACACUGUAUCUUGUAUCUGCAGCCCAUCUCACAUUCUGGAUUACAUCUAAUUUCCCCCGGCCACAAAACAAGGAGAGGUUCAAGGUAGUCGCUCGCAUUAACGCAUUAAUCUGAUGAUCACUUUUUGAAGGAUUGUUAGCACAAAAUGAUUAUAUUUGGAUACUAAUAAUUAUAUUUUGAUACUAAUAAUUAUAUUUUGAUACUAAUAAUUAUAUUUUGAUACUAAUAAUUAUAUUUUGAUACUAAACAAAAACAUGAAUGUUUAUUUUAUUGAAUAAGAAUGGGGGAGGAGUUUCUCAAAGAGAGUAUAGGGGUGUAUUCCAUAUGUGGGGACAGAGGAUGAGUGUAACGCGCAGAAGGAAGCGUCUAAGCUCCUGCAAAAUCUUCCACACCUUCCUGAGAGAUCCCUCGAUUCAAGGCUCCUUGGAGAUGCGGAUUUCCCCUAUCAUCUGUUGCAUUGGACGACGAGGUAAGCCUGUCGCUAUCUGUCAAAUGAUUGGCACCGACAAAACGUAUUUGAUUGGACUGUAGCAAACAUUCUACCAAGCAAAAAAUGUAAGACUUGGAUGCAUGGAAGACUCUUGAAGACCAUCGAAGAGCCCUCACUGAAUAAUUCCAAUUUAAUUUCCAUUACCUCCCGGAUUUCCAUUACCUCCCGCCCCCCCCUUGUACGUAAUCGAUAUCGAUUCUUAGAGGACCCUCAGGGCCUCAGGUUUAGUUAUACCCAACAUGGUAUAUUUUAAAACGUUUAACACACAAUUUUGUGCCUACUUUGGUGGGAAUAUUUUCAAAAAAACCAAAAAAUAAAAAACGAAAAAAAAAACAUGAACCCAGCAAGCCAUGCCCGACAACAGCCCCAAUGUCAAAUUCGAUAUUGUUCGAGAAUGCUGGAAAAUUUUCAGUAUUGUACGGAGCCUCGACAUUAAAACACAUACAAAUAAAAAUUCCAAAUUUCCAAAUUUUGUAAAAUAUUUAUUUCUGUUUUUUUUUGUUUUCAUUUAGUUUUAAGCAUAAAGUGAUUUGUUGUGUUUUUUGUGUUUUUGUUUUGUUUUGUGUUACUAUAGUUAAUUAAAAAGUGAAGUUUGAACAAAGGCGAUGGACUCGAGCAUGUUUCCGUAUCGGUAGUAUCUGUAGUCUAACACCGUACACUGUAUCUUCUAUCUGCAGCCCAAUCCACAUUCAAGUCUAACACCGUACACUGUAUCUUGUAUCUGCAGCCUAAUCCACAUUCAAGUCUAACACCGUACACUGUAUCUUGUAUCUGCAGCCUAAUCCACAUUCAAGUCUAACACCGUACACUGUAUCUUGUAUCUGCAGCCUAAUCCACAUUCAAGUCUAACACCGUACACUGUAUCUUGUAUCUGCAGCCCAAUCCACAUUCUGGAUUAAAUCUAAUUUCCCCCGGCCACAAAAGAAGGAGAGGUUCAAGGUAGUCACUCGCAUUAACGCAUUAAUCUGAUGAUCACUUUUUGAAGGAUUGUUAGCACAAAAUGAUUAUAUUUGGAUACUAAUAAUUAUAUUUUGAUACUAAUAAUUAUAUUUUGAUACUAAUAAUUAUAUUUUGAUACUAAACACAAACAUGAAUGUUUAUUUUAUUGAAUAAGAAUGGGGGAGGAGUUUCUCAAAGAGAGUAUAGGGGUGUAUUCCAUAUGUGGGGACAGAGGAUGAGUGUAACGCGCAGAAGGAAGCGUCUAAGCUCCUGCAAAAUCUUCCACACCUUCCUGAGAGAUCCCUCGAUUCAAGGCUCCUUGGAGAUGCGGAUUUCCCCUAUCAUCUGUUGCAUUGGACGACGAGGUAAGCCUGUCGCUAUCUGUCAAAUGAUUGGCACCGACAAAACGUAUUUGAUUGGACUGUAGCAAACAU